CCUACGGGAGGCAGCAGUGAGGAAUAUUGGUCAAUGGGCGGAAGCCUGAACCAGCCAAGUCGCGUGAGGGAAUAAGGCCCUACGGGUCGUCAACCUCUUUUGCCGGGGAGCAAGGGCCGGGACGCGUCCCGGCCCGGAGAGUACCCGGAGAAAAAGCAUCGGCUAACUCCGUUCCCGCAGCCGCGGUAAUACGGAGGAUGCGAGCGUUAUCCGGAUUUAUGGGGUUUAAAGGGUGCGUAGGCGGGCUUUUAAGUCAGCGGUAAAAAUUCGGGGCUCAACACCGUCCGGCCGUUGAAACUGGGGGCCUUGAGUGGGCGAGAAGAAGGCGGAAUGCGUGGUGUAGCGGUGAAAUGCAUAGAUAUCACGCAGAACCCCGAUUGCGAAGGCAGCCUUCCGGCGCCCUACUGACGCUGAGGCACGAAAGUGCGGGGAUCGAACAGGAUUAGAUACCCGUGUAGUC
rnacentral:rRNA from 1 species